rnacentral:lncRNA from 1 species
GAAGGAUGAGUCAUAUUGUUCUCAACAUAAAAAUCAGCAGAAUAUGCGUGAGAAGCACUAUCAGAGGUACAGGCAGAAGAAACAGUAUCCACAUAGCCAAAAUAGUUAGACAUGCGAAAGAAGGGGGAAAAGAAGAAUGCAAUGAAAAUAUGCAACCAAAGCUACCUAAAUGCAACACACAUGACACGCCAUACAAAACGGAACAACACACUCACAACACGAGACAAAACACAACACACACUAACACAACAAAAGACCUAAAACCGAACCGUUGGUCCCCGGCAACGGCGCCAAAAUUUUGAUGGGUGUCGCGGCCCAUACAAAUUUGAUUGCAAUUUAGAAAUGCUGUACAAUGCUAGGAAGUGACUCCUAGGUCAUCUCUCAAGGACCAAUUUUGCGGUUCAGAAUCGAGUCUAACACGAAAAAGGGGGGGGGGGGUUGAAUGUGUUCUUGCAAGGAAAAUUAAAUUAAAUUAAAACUGGAAAUUAAAUACAACCGAACAUAAUUAAAAACAUUGAAAUAACUGAAAAGAAAAAAAACAUGAAGACCGAAC